rnacentral:rRNA from 1 species
CACACACCGCCUGUCGCUUCAUCGAAGUUGGUUUUAGGCGAGGUGGUGCGAUUUGGCAUUAUCGAACCUGAGAUCAGCAACGAGGGAG